ACGAACGCUGGCGGCGUGCUUAACACAUGCAAGUCGAGCGGUAAGGCCCUUUCGGGGGUACACGAGCGGCGAACGGGUGAGUAACACGUGGGUGACCUGCCCUCAGCUCUGGGAUAAGCCUGGGAAACUGGGUCUAAUACCGGAUAUGACCUCUCAUCGCAUGGUGGGUGGUGGAAAGUUUUUUCGGCUGGGGAUGGGCCCGCGGCCUAUCAGCUUGUUGGUGGGGUGAUGGCCUACCAAGGCGACGACGGGUAGCCGGCCUGAGAGGGCGACCGGCCACACUGGGACUGAGACACGGCCCAGACUCCUACGGGAGGCAGCAGUGGGGAAUAUUGCGCAAUGGGCGAAAGCCUGACGCAGCGACGCCGCGUGGGGGAUGACGGCCUUCGGGUUGUAAACCUCUUUCGACCUUGACGAAGGCCUUCGGGUUGACGGUAGGGGUAGAAGAAGCACCGGCCAACUACGU
rnacentral:rRNA from 1 species